GCUGCUGCCUUCCCUGCAGGGCACGUCCAUCCCCAUGGCUCUGCGGCAGGAGAGAGCUGAGCCCCCAGAGCCCCUUCUUCCCAAACAACGCCUCUCCCUUGCUUUCAGCAGCAGGGGGACGGUGCUGAGAGGGUGCGGGAGCACUCACCUGGCACUUCUCCUCCAUGCCUCUUUGCUCUCUUCCCCUUGCCAUCAGGUGGGACCGGCAGCAAGAGGAGGUUUCUUCCCUGGCCAUUUGCACGGCGAGGGAACUCGGCCACUGCAGCGGCACCCGAGUCGGCGGCCUCUGGGAGCAGCGGGGCUCUCUUUGGCCGGCCCCUGGAAGCUCUCUGCAGCCAGGAUGGCACCCUACCCCAGCCCAUCCAGGUAAGCACGCCUGCCUAGGGGGUGCCCAGCCCUUUGGCCCCUCUGCAGAGGUGGUGACCCAGGCAGAGGGAACCCAGCUGGGGCUUGGGGACAAAGCCAGCUCCUCCCCAUGUCACCCACCCCUGCAUCCUGCCCCACCGAGAGCUGCAGAGCUGCCCACGCUUGCUCCUGCCCCGAAGCUCGCUUCACCUGCCCCAAAGCCUGUCUACAGCCAAGCAACUCUACCUCCUCUCUGCCCUGCAGGACCUGCUGGCUCUUCUGCACCAGCACGGGCCAUCCACGGAGGGGAUCUUCCGGCUGGCGGCCGGCGAGCACGCCUCCCGGCAGCUCAGGGAGGCCCUGGACUCUGGAGCAGAGGUCCACCUGGAAAGCCAGCCUGCGCACUUGCUGGCCGUCAUCUUGAAGGACUUCCUCCGUAAGAUCCCCUCCAAGCUCCUCCAGGCAGAGCUCUAUGAGGAGUGGAUGAGCGCCCUGCAGAAGGACAGCAGGCAGGAGAAGCUGGCAGCGCUGAAAGAGUAAGUGUGGCCAGCACCUGCGGCUGCCCAGGGGCUGGCAGAGGCCAGCACUUGCCUGCAAGGCCACGGCCUCCUCGACACAGCUGUGUUCUCUCACCAGGCACCGCUGGCUGCUGUGGGGUGGGCUUUGGGGGGAAAGUGGCACCGAAAAGCAUUGCUCUCCUUGGAGCACUUGGGGCAGGCAUGGUGGGUUGUUCCAUGACGGGACUCUGGGCAGAAGGGCAGGGAGGGAGAGAGGUGGCCGUACCUCAGAAAAGGCCGUCCUUCUGCUGAAGACCAGGCAUGGCCAGAGAGCCUUCCCUCACGUGGCCCUGGGUGAGAUCAGCCUGGGGGACCUGUGUUGACAGCGUCUACUUUAUUAACGUUGUGUUCCUGUUCCCUCAGGGUGGCCAGCAAGUUGGCCAAAGGCAACCUCCUGCUCCUCAAGCAGUUGCUAUCCCUGCUGCAGAACAUCAGCAGCAACGUGGCCACCAGCAGGAUGAAUGCCCACAACCUGGCCAUCUGUGUGGGGCCGAACCUGCUCAGCCCACCAGAGGAGCACGCACUCCCCCUCGAUGUCCUGGUGAAGGUGACGCAGAAGGUACGCUGUGCUCACCAGCCGGCUACAGCCUUCUGGGCCCAGC
rnacentral:lncRNA from 1 species